rnacentral:rRNA from 1 species
UUGGGAAUCUUGCACAAUGGGGGAAACCCUGAUGCAGCGACGCCGCGUGGAGGAUGAAGGAUCUAGGUCUGUAAACUCCUUUUUCAGGGAAAGACUUAGGACGGUACCCUGAGAAUAAGCUCCGGCUAACUACGUGCCAGCAGCCGCGGUAAGACGUAGGGAGCAAGCGUUGUCCGGAUUUACUGGGCGUAAAGAGCACGUAGGCGGCCUGUUAAGUGAGAAGUGAAAUCUUCAGCGCUCAACGCGAAAAUUGCUUUUCAUACUGGCAGGCUAGAGGGAUGCAGAGGCAAGUGGAAUUCCUGGUGUACCGGUGACAUGGAUUGAUAUCAGGAGGAACACCCGAGGCGAAGGCGGCUUGCUGGGCAUCAUCUGACGCUGAGGUGCGAAAGCGUGGGGAGCA